rnacentral:ribozyme from 1 species
UGCCCAGCAACUCCUAUCCCUACCUCCUCGUGGUACUGGCCGGGGUACGAGUAACCUUGGGGAAGUAGUAGGAAGUAGUAGGAAGGAGUAACCAACCCCCGGUGGGAACUUUGGUCGUAUGCUGACAGGAAAGG